UGGGGAAUUUUGGACAAUGGGGGAAACCCUGAUCCAGCCAUCCCGCGUGUGCGAUGAAGGCCUUCGGGUUGUAAAGCACUUUUGGCAGGAAAGAAACGUCAUGGGUUAAUACCCCGUGAAACUGACGGUACCUGCAGAAUAAGCACCGGCUAACUACGUGCCAGCAGCCGCGGUAAUACGAAGGGUGCAAGCGUUAAUCGGAAUUACUGGGCGUAAAGCGUGCGCGGGCGGUUCGGAAAGAAAGAUGUGAAAUCCCAGAGCUCAACUUUGGAACUGCAUUUUUAACUACCGGGCUAGAGUGUGUCAGAGGGAGGUGGAAUUCCGCGUGUAGCAGUGAAAUGCGUAGAUAUGCGGAGGAACACCGAUGGCGAAGGCAGCCUCCUGGGAUAACACUGACGCUCAUGCACGAAAGCGUGGGGAGCAAACAGG
rnacentral:rRNA from 1 species